rnacentral:tRNA from 1 species
AAGCAAGAAGCGAAUAUUUUGCAUACGGUUUCGGCCCGUAAAAUGGCAGUGCGAUUCUGUCCUUGUUUG